rnacentral:rRNA from 1 species
GAGAGGUGCUGCAUGGCUGUCGUCAGCUCGUGUUGUGAAAUGUUGGGUUAAGUCUCGCAACGAGCGCAACCCCUAUCAUCUGUUGCCAGCAUUAAGUUGGGCACUCUGACGAGACUGCCUGGGUUAACCAGGAGGAAGGUGGGGAUGACGUCAAGUCCUCAUGGCCCUUAUGUCUAGGGCUACACACGUAAUACAAUGGCGCGUACAGAGGGAAGCGAACUCGCAAGGGGGAGCAAAUCUCAAAAAGCGCGCCUCAGUUCGGAUUGAAGUCUGCAACUCGACUCCAUGAAAUUGGAAUCGCUAGUA